rnacentral:rRNA from 1 species
AGUGAACGCUGGCGGUAGGCCUAACACAUGCAAGUCGAACGGCAGCACAGUAAGAGCUUGCUCUUACGGGUGGCGAGUGGCGGACGGGUGAGGAAUACAUCGGAAUCUACUUUUUCGUGGGGGAUAACGUAGGGUAACUUACGCUAAUACCGCAUACGACCUACGGGUGAAAGCAGGGGAUCUUCGGACCUUGCGCGAUUGAAUGAGCCGAUGUCGGAUUAGCUAGUUGGCGGGGUAAAGGCCCACCAAGGCGACGAUCCGUAGCUGGUCUGAGAGGAUGAUCAGCCACACUGGAACUGAGACACGGUCCAGACUCCUACGGGAGGCAGCAGUGGGGAAUAUUGGACAAUGGGCGCAAGCCUGAUCCAGCCAUACCGCGUGGGUGAAGAAGGCCUUCGGGUUGUAAAGCCCUUUUGUUGGGAAAGAAAAGCAUCAGGUUAAUACCCCGCUGUUCUGACGGUACCCAAAGAAUAAGCACCGGCUAACUUCGUG